rnacentral:rRNA from 1 species
CCUACGGGUGGCAGCAGUCGAGAAUCAUUCACAAUGGGGGAAACCCUGAUGGUGCGACGCCGCGUGGGGGAAUGAAGGUCUUCGGAUUGUAAACCCCUGUCAUGUGGGAGCAAAUUAAAAAGAUAGUACCACAAGAGGAAGAGACGGCUAACUCUGUGCCAGCAGCCGCGGGAAUACAGAGGUAUCAAGCGGUGUUCGGAAUCACUUGGCGUAAAGCGUGCGUAGGCUGUUUCGUAAGGCGUGUGUGAAAGGCGCGGGCUCAACCCGCGGACGGCACAUGAUACUGCGAGACUAGAGUAAUGGAGGGGGAACCGGAAUUCGCGGUGUAGCAGUGAAAUGCGUAGAUAUCGAGAGGAACACUCGUGGCGAAGGCGGGUUCCUGGACAUUAACUGACGCUGAGGCACGAAGGCCAGGGGAGCGAAAGGGAUUAGAUACCCGAGUAGUC